UCUGCGUUUCGCGCAGCGGUCUCGCUAGGGAAUUUCAACUAGCGACGAGGGUUGCGCUCGUUGCGGGACUUAACCCAACAUCUCACGACACGAGCUGACGACAGCCAUGCAGCACCUGUCACUGGGCUCCCGAAGGCACCCCUCCAUCUCUGGAGGGUUCCCAGGAUGCCAAGGGCAGGUAAGGUUCUUCGCGUUGCAUCGAAUUAAGCCACAUGCUCCACCGCUUGUGCGGGCCCCCGUCAAUUCCUUUGAGUUUCAUCGUUGCCGACGUACUCCCCAGGUGGCAUACUUACUGCGUUAACUGCGGCACCGGCCCCAACGGGCCAACACCUAGUAUGCAUCGUUUACAGCGUGGACUAC
rnacentral:misc_RNA from 1 species